rnacentral:lncRNA from 1 species
CAAAGUUGACUGUUCUGCUCUCCAGUUUCUGCCUACUCUGCUCUGACCCUUGCUAACUUGGAACACCAAAUAAGAAGCUAGGAAGUUCCAACAUGAAAACUGUUUUUCAAAGGUACAGUAGACAUGUCAAGGCACAACAUAUAAAAGUUUCAGCUCAAAAUACUACCAGGUUAAGGAGUUGUAGCUUUCCAAAAGUCAGAGUACAGAAGCUGCACUGAUUCUGACAUUCAGGCCAUAACUGCUUGAUAAAUGGAGUUCCAGGGCUUCAAAAUGAAAACUGUUUUGCAGGCAUUUAGGUGACAUAAAGGGCUACAUUUCUGGAAAUUUUCACCAACAAAUCCUUCCCGAGCUGUAAAUUAUAGGCUCCCAAAGUCACUUCAGAAAACUGGGGGGAAAUUGUACUUCAAACAAACGUCAGUUUUCGCCAUGCCAUCACUUCACACACCUUCCUAUCACCCAAUGAUGGUCAAAUAACCUUAUUAACUACAAGAUGAAACUCAAAAGAUCAAAUUACCAAGGGUUGCCUCCCUAGAAGCGCUUGAGAUAAAAGACGUCAAGCCUGUCUCCAAACAACACAAACGAAAUGAAGAAAUUAAACACAAAGGAAAAGAAGUGGAAAAGCGGCCCAAAGCUACCUAAAUAGGUACACCAUGGCCUUGGAACACAAAGAGGUGCUCCACACUUCAUCCGACAAAACACAAACUGAGAGAUUUUUUUUUNUUUUUUUUUUUUUGUGGCAUAACAAGUUGCCAAACAUUUUUCAUUAAUUCACACACAAAGACAGAAGCAAAGAGGAAACUACAAAGAACAUGCAAGUGACUAAAUGACCAUGUGAUUAACAGAUUCCUCCUCUUGCUUACUCGUACAAAAUAAAUCAAGUUACUGAUUCUCUAAUAAAGAACCAAUUCAAUUUGUCAUAUAAAUGAGAACCCUACCCUAAAUCAAUGAACCAUAAUAUCAGUUAGCACCCGCCAAUAACUCCCAUCACAUAAAUUCUCCCAAAUUCGUAAUUCCCACAUCAUAUACUAAAGCAAGUGAUUUUAAUCACUUCUUGUAUCAAAAUCACGACAGACGUCUCAGUCAAAUAAAAAAUUCAAUCAAUUUUAUAUCCAAUUAAUCUAAAAUAAGUUGUACAAUGAAAAAUUAUAAAGUAUAAUUAGCCAAAACUGACGUGUCACAGGAAAACAGAGAAAGGCAUACCUCUCUCCUUUCAAAUUCAAUCUUCUCCUCUUCCGUGUCAUUCACCUAUUACAUAGUAACAGUUUGACUUCUGUACAUAGGAAGAAAUCACGCAACAGACAAAGUUGUUCACCAAAAUGUUAGUAACUUGGAAAACUUGCCCGUAACUAAUGCUUUCCAUUUCUCACUACCGAAUUUAGCUUCUAAUUCAGCCACAUCAUUUGUCUAAAUAACAUAAGUCCACCAACGGCAUUCAUACAUGAAAUUUAGCUCAAAUGUAAACAGAUAGGAAUUAUAUAUAAUAUAGUCCUGUUAAAUAAAAUAAUUUCUAACAUGUGUGUUGUGCAUUAUGAUCCUUGCUUUGCAUUUAAAAUAAAAAAACACAGCCAGUUUACUGAAAAAAAAAUUAAUAACACUUAUUUCUGUUCCACUUUAGGUAUCAAUCGACUGGUAAACAUAGAAUGUCAUCAAGGCAUUUACUGACCUCAGGAACAUAAUCAAAAGACGAAAAAAAAUUGUCGAAAAUAGAUCACAUACUUACAAACUACAGAUAAUUUACCGCACUGAUGUAAGUAAGUUUCAGAUAUCAGAGUUUACAAUGCUAUUCAAGAACUAAUUGCACUAAAAGAACACUAAUGUAUUACAGUAAUUGUACCACAUAGAGUUUGACAAAAAAUUGUGCAAGUUUCCUAACCCAGCCAUGAGCAGGAUCAAAAAUUAAACGUUGUUUUUUAUCUUACCUCAAAGAAAAACUUGUCGGUCCACGAACAUUGUCUCACCAGUCCCCUAUUGUUUCUUUUCAGGUACUCCUUAAUUGUUGCAAUAAAUGAACCCCAACUGAAAAGAAAAGAAAAACAGGACCAGCUCAAAUUCACAAACAUUAAAAAAUGAAAAUCUAGGAAAAAAUGAAAGGAUUACCAAGACCACAAAAAUAGACCAAAUCACUACCGUCCAGAGCCAACCAAUCCAAAACCUCUCUAGUCCCCUUCACCAUAGUUUCAGUAGCUGAUUCUGUAACAACAAUAAGAAAACCCAUAAUCAGCAUCCAAUUUACACAGAACCCGAACUAAAAAUUAAACAGUGAAUUUGUUGAAGGUGUAUGCAGGCAUAGGAUACUGCAAUCAACCCUAAACCCAAUCGGUUAAAAACCAACAGCAACAGUAAACAAAAUCAAAACCCACAAAAUGGACGAACCAAGUCAUUACUAGUGCAAGCCAAGUUAACGUGUAUUAGAAAAUACCUUUCAACUAUUCAGUGCACUUAAACAAACCAAGUCAUUACCAGUGCAAGCCUACAAAUCCCAAACAGCCCAAAAAUAUGAGUAGGCCAAUGCCAAAUAAAAAGAAGAGGGUCGGUUAGUGUUUAAGCUAAGGGCUAGAGUAGAUGUGGGUUAACAAAUAAAAAGGCUAAUAUGUUAGGCUCAAAGAUUACUGUUUAGUAGGAUUAUGAUUAGUUCGGCCAUGGUGAAGAUACGAUAGACACCAUCCACAAGGAAACAAGGCCUUGACUUCCUCCAAGCAAAAGGCACCUCACACACAGUGAACAAGUAGAGACCCGGAGCUGGAAGUUUUAUGGAUGGAAGUCACAGUUAUUCCUUGUAGAUAUCACAGUAGCUAGGCAAAUUGGACACACAGUUUCUGAAAUCUGCUGCUGACCCCCAGUCACCAAAACUGCAAUAACUGAUCCUCCAGAGAUGCAAAGGGGUUGAGACCACUUGUGAAUGAAAGGUUACACACACUACUGACUUCCCGUAAAAUUUUACUUUUUAACUCAUUGUCAACUGGGAAAUAUCUCUCUUCAAAGUUGACUGUUCUGCUCUCCAGUUUCUGCCUACUCUGCUCUGACCCUUGCUAACUUGGAACACCAAAUAAGAAGCUAGGAAGUUCCAACAUGAAAACUGUUUUUCAAAGGUACAGUAGACAUGUCAAGGCACAACAUAUAAAAGUUUCAGCUCAGAAUACCACCAGGUUAAGGAGUUGUAGCUUUCCAAAAGUCAGAGUACGUAAGCUGCACUGAUUCUGACCUUCAGGCCGUAACUGCUUGAUAAAUGGAGCGCCAGGGCUUCAAAAUGAAAACUGUUUUACAGACAUUUAGGUGACAUAUAGGGCUACAUUUCUGGAAAUUUUCAUGAUCAAAUCCUUCCCGAGCUGUAAAUUAUAAGCUCCCAAAUUCACUGCUGAAAAUUGGGCGGAAACUGUAGUUCAAACAAACUGUCACAAUCCAAAAUUCAAUACCCAUAUCUCAAAUUGCCAAAAAUCGGAAGCACAUAACCGAAUUUCAAAUUCACCAUGAAAUAAGAAUACCAAAUGAUAACCCACAACCACAACUGAAAUCAAACAAAGAAUAACCCAGACUGCUAUGCCAAUUGAC